GAGGAAUUUUGCGCAAUGGGAGCAAUCCUGACGCAGCAACGCCGCGUGAGUGAUGAAGGCCUUCGGGUCGUAAAGCUCUGUCAGGUGGGAAGAAUGUCUCGCAUGUGAACAAUGUGCGGGAGUGACGGUACCACCAGAGGAAGCACCGGCUAACUCCGUGCCAGCAGCCGCGGUAAUACGGAGGGUGCGAGCGUUAUUCGGAAUUACUGGGCGUAAAGCGCGUGUAGGCGGGGAGGCAAGUCUGAUGUGAAAGCCCUGGGCUUAACCCGGGAAGUGCAUUGGAAACUGCUUUUCUUGAGUUCUGGAGAGGAAGGGGGAAUUCCCGGUGUAGAGGUGAAAUUCGUAGAGAUCGGGAGGAAUACCAGUGGCGAAGGCGCCCUUCUGGACGGAUACUGACGCUGAGACGCGAAAGCGUGGGGAGCAAAC
rnacentral:rRNA from 1 species